rnacentral:rRNA from 1 species
AGUGAACGCUGGCGGCGUGCUUAACACAUGCAAGUCGAACGAGAACGGGUUAUAGCUUGCUAUAAUUGUCAGCUAAGUGGCGCACGGGUGAGUAAUGUAUAGGUAAUAUGCCUCUUACUAAGGGAUAACAAAUGGAAACGUUUGCUAAUACCUUAUACUCCUUAUUAACAUAAGUUAAUAAGGGAAAGCUUUAUUGGUAAGAGAUUAGCCUGUAGUGUAUCAGUUAGUUGGUGGGGUAAUGGCUUACCAAGACUAUGACACAUAACUGGUUUGAGAGAAUGAUCAGUCACACUGGAGCGGAGACACGGUCCAGACUCCUACGGGAGGCAGCAGUGGGGAAUAUUGCACAAUGGACGAAAGUCUGAUGCAGCAACGCCGCGUGGAGGAUGACACAUUUCGGUGCGUAAACUCCUUUUAUAUGAGAAGAUAAUGACGGUAUUAUAUGAAUAAGCACCGGCUAACUCCGUGCCAGCAGCCGCAGUAA